rnacentral:lncRNA from 1 species
UCCCCAUCUGGCACUUCACGGUCACCGCAGCUACCCGGACACUCCCGGACCUCCGGGUCCUAGGCACCUCGAGGUGUCAGCGCAGCUCUGCGCUACACCGGUCGCCCCAAGCGACAACCACAAGGCUCCGUGUGGGAGUGAGACCCGGCCUCCACCAGCCCAGGGACCAGGAAGUGGCAGUGGUAGUCUGUGGGCUAGCAUUCCCCCUGGGUAGGUGUAUGAAAGCUGCAAACAAGGUUGCAUCAGGAGACCUUUCAGGAAGACCUGCCAUAGCUUUCUCCUCUGCUGCUAAUUUGAAGCAAGAGUCCUUUGCUCCCAGAAUCAGACUGCACUCAGAACCAUUGUUGGGGCAGUCUGGACACUGUUGCUGAGGAAGUCUGGAAACUGUGGCUGACCCAUUGUCC